rnacentral:rRNA from 1 species
UACAGAGGGGGCAAGCGUUAUUCGGAAUUAUUGGGCGUAAAGGGCUCGUAGGCGGUUUGUCGCGUCGGGAGUGAAAACCCAGGGCUUAACCCUGGGCUGGCUUCCGAUACGGGCAGACUAGAGGUAUGCAGGGGAGAACGGAAUUCCUGGUGUAGCGGUGAAAUGCGCAGAUAUCAGGAAGAACACCCGUGGCUAAGGCGGCUCUCUAGUACGGUACUGACGCUGAGACGCGAAAGCGUGGGGAGCGAACAGG